rnacentral:snoRNA from 1 species
CUGUUAGGGGAAUGAUGUAUUAUUACAGGGCUCUAAAGAUGCUUUCUUUCCUUGACUCUGCAUCGGAGGUGGACAUAAGG